rnacentral:rRNA from 1 species
UCGCGAAACCUUUGCAAUACACGAAAGUGUGACAGGGCUAUCCCGAGUGCCAUCCGCUGAGGAAGGCUUUUACCCAGUCUAGAAAGCUGGGGGAAUAAGGAGAGGGCAAGUCUGGUGUCAGCCGCCGCGGUAAUACCAGCUCUCCGAGUGGUGUGGAUGUUUAUUGGGCCUAAAGCAUCCGUAGCUGGCUAGGUAAGUCCCUUGUUAAAUCCACCGAAUUAAUCGUUGGAUCGCGGGGGAUACUGCUUGGCUAGGGGACGAGAGAGGCAGACGGUAUUUUUGGGGUAGGGGUGAAAUCCUAUAAUCCCAGGAAGACCACCAGUGGCGAAGGCUGUCUGCUAGAACGCGCCCGACGGUGAGGGAUGAAAGCUGGGGGAGCGAACCGGAUUAGAUACCCGGGUAGUCCCAGCUGUAAACGAUGCAGGCUAGGUGUUUGGACGGCCACGUGCCGUUCUAGUGCCGCAGGGAAGCUGUUAAGCCUGCCGCCUGGGGAGUACGAUCGCAAGAUUGAAACUUAAAGGAAUUGGCGGGGG